rnacentral:rRNA from 1 species
GAUGAACGCUGGCGGCGUGCUUAACACAUGCAAGUCGAACGAUGAAGCCCAGCUUGCUGGGUGGAUUAGUGGCGAACGGGUGAGUAACACGUGAGUAACCUGCCCUUAACUCUGGGAUACGCCUGGGAAACUGGGUCUAAUACCGGAUAGGAGCGUCCACCGCAUGGUGGGUGUUGGAAAGAUUUAUCGGUUUUGGAUGGACUCGCGGCCUAUCAGCUUGUUGGUGAGGUAAUGGCUCACCAAGGCGACGACGGGUAGCCGGCCUGAGAGGGUGACCGGCCACACUGGGACUGAGACACGGCCCAGACUCCUACGGGAGGCAGCAGUGGGGAAUAUUGCACAAUGGGCGCAAGCCUGAUGCAGCGACGCCGCGUGAGGGAUGACGGCCUUCGGGUUGUAAACCUCUUUCAGUAGGGAAGAAGCGAAAGUGACGGUACCUGCAGAAGAAGCACCGGCUAACUACGUG